GAAUGUAGAAAUAACCCAGAUAGAACAGUAUCCCAUUGAAGAUGAUUUGAUCGUCCCUGUUGUAUUUCUCUUUAUGUCAAGCAGGUGAGGGAAAAACAAAUCCUUAAAAAAGGAAGGUGUGCUUACCAGUUUCUCUCCCUGUCGACCUGCUCAAACUCGAUGCUCUUGUCAACGAUCCGGUUCUUGCUGCGUGCGUUCUGGAAGCGAGCUAAACUGAUCCAGACUUGGUUGUGGAGCAUCCUCAACAGCAAAGACGGGAGUAUGAUGAG